rnacentral:rRNA from 1 species
GACGAACGCUGGCGGCGUGCUUAAUACAUGCAAGUCGAGCGAGGUUACUGUUUUGGAUCCCUUCGGGGUGAAGAAGCUUUAACCUAGCGGCGGACGGGUGAGUAACGCGUGGGUAACCUACCCCAAAGUCCGGGAUAACAGUGGGAAACCGCUGCUAAUACCGGAUGCCUUUACCUUGGGGCAUCUUGAGGUAAAGAAAGGUAACGCUUUGGGAUGGGCCCGCGUCCCAUUAGCUAGUUGGUGAGGUAACGGCUCACCAAGGCGACGAUGGGUAGCCGGCCUGAGAGGGUGGACGGCCACACUGGGACUGAGACACGGCCCAGACUCCUACGGGAGGCAGCAGUAGGGAAUAUUGCGCAAUGGACGGAAGUCUGACGCAGCGACGCCGCGUGAGCGAUGAAGGUCUUCGGAUCGUAAAGCUCUGUCCUUGGGGAAGAAGGUCUUCGGACUUGACGGUACCCAAGAAGAAAGCCCCGGCUAACUACGUGCCAGCAGCCGCGGUAAUACGUAGGGGGCGAGCGUUGNCCGGAAAUUACUGGGCGUAAAGGG